rnacentral:rRNA from 1 species
AACCUUUACACUGCACGACAGUGCGAUAGGGGGACUCCGAGUGCGAGGGCAUAUAGCCCUCGCUUUUCUGUACCGUAAGGUGGUACAGGAACAAGUGCUGGGCAAGACCGGUGCCAGCCGCCGCGGUAAUACCGGCAGCACGAGUGAUGGCCGAUUUUAUUGGGCCUAAAGCGUCCGUAGCCGGCCGAGCAAGUCCGUUGGGAAAUCCGCGCGCUCAACGCGCGGGCGUCCAGCGGAAACUGUCCGGCUUGGGGCCGGAAGACCUGAGGGGUACGUCCGGGGUAGGAGUGAAAUCCUGUAAUCUCGGACGGACCGCCUGUGGCGAAAGCGCCUCAGGAAGACGGACCCGACAGUGAGGGACGAAAGCCAGGGUCUCGAACCGGAUUAGAUACCCGGGUAGUCCUGGCUGUAAACGAUGUCCGCUAGGUGUGACGCAGGCUACGGGCCUGCGCUGUGCCGUAGGGAAGCCGUGAAGCGGACCGCCUGGGAAGUACGUCUGCAAGGAUGAAACUUAAAGGAAUUGGCGGGGGAGCAC